rnacentral:rRNA from 1 species
UACGUAGGGGGCUAGCGUUGUCCGGAUUUAUUGGGCGUAAAGAGCGUGUAGGCGGCCAGAUAGGUCCGUUGUGAAAACUCGAGGCUCAACCUCGAGACGCCGAUGGAAACCAUCUGGCUAGAGUCCGGAAGAGGAGAGUGGAAUUCCUGGUGUAGCGGUGAAAUGCGCAGAUAUCAGGAAGAACACCCGUGGCGAAGGCGGCUCUCUGGGACGGUACUGACGCUGAGACGUGAAAGCGUGGGGAGCGAACAGG